GGAGGAGUAGCGAAGUGGCUAAACGCGGCGGUCUGUAAAACCGCUCUCUCUGAGUUCGGCGGUUCGAAUCCACCCUCCUCCAUCA
rnacentral:tRNA from 2 species